CUGAGCGGCUCCUCCGUCCCCAGCCCACUGGGAAGUGAAGCCGGGUCACAGGGAAGCCUGGCCUGACCUCAGGCUGCAGGAAGGCUGGGCCAGGGACUUCUCCUCUAUCCUGCGGUGGAAGUCAAUGCUCUUGAGGUGACACACCCAUGUCACAGAGCGGUGGAGCCUGCUCUCCACGGUCCGGGGGCUGAGGCAUUGAGGUGCCUCCCCUUCCCCCGUCUGAGCCCCAAGACGGGAGCGCUGGGCUGCGUCCGGGCCAGAGCUUGCCU